GUCAGUGUGGUGUAAUGCUUUGAACAUUAGACUACCAUCCUGGAGAACAGGGUUUGAAUCCCUGCUUGGCCA